UACGAAGGGUGCGAGCGUUGUUCGGAUUUAUUGGGCGUAAAGGGUUCGUAGGCGGGAGAGCAAGUGGAGUGUGAAAGCCCUAGGCUUAACCUGGGAGGUGCAUUCUAGACUGUUUUUCUUGAGUGUUGGAGAGGGUAGUGGAAUUGCUGGUGUAGGAGUGACAUCCGUAGAGAUCAGCAGGAACACCAGAGGCGAAGGCGACUGCCUGGUCAAACACUGACGCUGAGGAACGAAAGCGUGGGGAG
rnacentral:rRNA from 1 species